CCUACGGGAGGCUGCAGUGGGGAAUAUUGCACAAUGGGGGGAACCCUGAUGCAGCGACGCCGCGUGGGUGAAGGAGUACUUCGGUACGUAAAGCCCUAUCAGCAGGAAAGAAAAUGACGGUACCUGACUAAGAAGCCCCGGCUAACUACGUGCCAGCAGCCGCGGUAAUACGUAGGGGGCAAGCAUUAUCCGGAUUUACUGGGUGUAAAGGGAGCGUAGACGGCAGUGCAAGUCCGGAGUGAAAGCCCGGGGCUCAACCCUGGGACUGCUCUGGAAACUGUAAAGCUGGAGUGCGGGAGGGGCAGGCGGAAUUCCUGGUGUAGCGGUGAAAUGCUUAGAUAUCACGAAGAACUCCGAUUGCGAAGGCAGCUUACUAAACUGCCACUGACAUUGAUGCUCGAAAGUGUGGGUAUCAAACAGGAUUAGAUACCCGUGUAGUC
rnacentral:rRNA from 1 species